GUCCCUGUAGCGCCGUGGAUAUCGCGUUGGACUUCUAAUCCAAAGGGCUCGGGUUCUAAUCCCGGCUGGGAUG
rnacentral:tRNA from 13 species